rnacentral:rRNA from 1 species
GACAGAGGGGGCAAGCGUUGCUCGGAAUUACUGGGCGUAAAGGGCGCGUAGGCGGAAUGGCAAGUCGGUCGUGAAAUCCUUCGGCUCAACCGAAGAACGUCGAUCGAAACUGCCGUUCUUGAGGAUUGCAGAGGAGACUGGAAUUCCCGGUGUAGCGGUGAAAUGUGUAGAGAUCGGGAGGAACACCGGUGGCGAAGGCGGUUCUCUGGGCAUGUUCUGACGCUGAGGAGCGAAAGUGUGGGGAGCGAACAGG